rnacentral:rRNA from 1 species
GAUGAACGCUGGCGGCGUGCCUAAUACAUGCAAGUCGAGCGAACGGACGAGAAGCUUGCUUCUCUGAUGUUAGCGGCGGACGGGUGAGUAACACGUGGAUAACCUACCUAUAAGACUGGGAUAACUUCGGGAAACCGGAGCUAAUACCGGAUGAUAUUUUGAACCGCAUGGUUCAAAAGUGAAAGACGGUCUUGCUGUCACUUAUAGAUGGAUCCGCGCUGCAUUAGCUAGUUGGUAAGGUAACGGCUUACCAAGGCAACGAUGCAUAGCCGACCUGAGAGGGUGAUCGGCCACACUGGAACUGAGACACGGUCCAGACUCCUACGGGAGGCAGCAGUAGGGAAUCUUCCGCAAUGGGCGAAAGCCUGACGGAGCAACGCCGCGUGAGUGAUGAAGGUCCUCGGAUCGUAAAACUCUGUUAUUAGGGAAGAACAUAUGUGUAAGUAACUGUGCACAUCUUGACGGUACCUAAUCAGAAAGCCACGGCUAACUACGU